rfam:Schistosoma mansoni strain Puerto Rico chromosome 4, complete genome
AUCCAUCUGACGAGUCCCAAAUAGGACGAAACGUGCAUCCUGGAU